AGAUCAACUAGCAGUUGAUUCCUUGGUGUGACCGGCAGAACGUAAUACAUAUUACAAGUAAAACACGGGUCAACCUUACAUAGCUGUGACUAAAAACAUCGUGAUACAGAGAAAUUAGGAUGCCUUCAUAUUCACGCAAAAAGACUUGUAAAAGUUGGGAAAAAGACUUAGACCGAUAAUUCCAGGAAAAGCAAGCUCUUAGUCUCAAAGCCAACAAUCACCUCACAGUGCUCGCAUAGUCGUAUGCAUCACAUUGAAUUCCAAGGAAAAUGAAACUGCUUGACUGGAAAGUAUGCCUAUAAAUAUUUACUACAUUACCCACGCUUAGUCUUUGUCAAACUCUGUUGCCCCUCCCAUCUGUAUGCUGUGUCUUGUGAUGCAACUGAGUAAUACUUCAGACCCUUCCAAAGAUCUGCAAAGAACUAAACAGCAAAAGAACUAAAUGUUGGGAAUGUUAAAUUUUGGAAACAUGCUAAAGCAAAUGAGAUUAAUAUCAUGCAUUAGCCCUGGAAAAACAGACACGAUGCCUAGAGGACUCCAUUCUAGUAUUCCCUUUAACAUGACCAAGGAAACACAUGAAAACCUAUUCACAUGGACAAUAUCAUGAUGCAAAAUAUAUGUUAAGAUGAUUAGCAGAUAGUGGAAAGGAAUUAGCUAAUUACCAAAUAAUCAUAGUUAUUGACUAGACAGUCUGAAGUUACCAUUCAUAUCAUAUGACUACCAAUAAGUAAAUCAAGACUUUCUAACAAAGUCAAUGAAAGAAAGAUUCUGUCAUGUUUCCGUUAGUUCCAAAAUAAAAAUCAUAAAAAAACUUGCAAAGAAAGUCAUGACCACCUUAUAGAUCACGAGAAAGACUAAAGCGUCUUACUUUUCUGUUACCUGUGGAACAUUACUGGUGAUAAUUCAAGUUAUCCUUCUGCUUUACAUCUGAAGAAGGAAUCUCUUCACACAAUGGCCUCUUUCCUAGAACAUUAUCUCUGGUUCUCGCUUCUUCUACUGAUGCCAAUUUCCGCCACCGCUCAAAAUGUAUCUAGAGGUGAAUCCCUCAUGGCAG
rnacentral:lncRNA from 1 species